rnacentral:rRNA from 1 species
UACGGAGGGUGCAAGCAUUGAUCGGAAUUACUGGGCGUAAAGGGCGCGUAGGCGGCUUUGAAAGUCAGAUGUGAAAUUCCGGGGCUCAACCCCGGAGCUGCAUUUGAAACUUCAGAGCUUAGAGGAUGGUAAGGGAAAACGGAAUUCCACGUGUAGCGGUGAAAUGCGUAGAUAUGUGGAAGAACACCAGUGGUGAAGACGGUUUUCUGUGCCAAACCAGACGCUGAAGCGCGAAAGCUAGGGGAGCAAACAGG